GGAUAUUUUCUUCCAUUUUUCUGAAAAUGUUACUUACCUUUUCACUGAAACCCUUGAAUACUCAUUCUGCUUCAUGCAAUACUUGGAUUUUGUGGGGCAUGGGCGAAUGUAUGCCUUUGAGCCUAGACAGGGAUAGGCCCUCCAAUGCCCCUCAUCGGGACCAUGGCCCCUGGAUAUUUCAAGGGGAAUGGGCUUGUUUCCAUCACACAAGGUGUUCUGAGUGGUGUUGCUGCUGCUGAGGGAUCCCGCAUGCCUGUGCAAGUGUAUGAAUUAAAGCAGGACUUUUACCAUGAGGGAACAUGAUGUGUACAGAUGCUUUGUGUAACUGAAUUUCUUAGAGACCGUGGGCAUAAUGUGCUGUGGAGUGAGAUGUGAGCUAUCCCAAACUAGGCCUCAGACUAGGCCUUAGACCUGGGCCUGCUAGGCCUCAAACGUUUGUCCUACGUAAAAAUAGAUAAGCUUGUUUUGCACUGGGAACUGUUAAGGUAUGGGUGUUAAUAACAUAGAACAGUUACUGAGAGAAUACCGUAGCCGCCUUAAGUUGUGAAUGUUUACAUAGUUGUUCACACUCCUCUGCCAAUAGAAAAACACCUGUCACUGUAAACUAUUUUUCUGUAUUUAACCAGCCAUCUCAGGAAUAAAGAGGAGAAACGUAUGCUAUGAUCAUAGUGGUCUGACCUGCGUUUGCUCGGUCUCCGAUACCAUUUACAGUCCCUGCUUCAUCCUGGUGCCCUCUGAACAGGGACUUGUUUGUUGUUUUUUCCUUGAAUGGUGAUACCUUGAAUGGUGAUUCCUUGAAUGGUGAUUCCUUGAAUGGAGAGGUUUUGCUUUUUCAUUUUUUCCUUGAAUGGAGUGUUUUUGCACUUAAAUGUGGCGUGAAGACCUUGCUGUUCUGGAAGUUAGUUUGUGUGUCUGGAUUUAAAUCGGACGGGAUAAACAGACUUUCCUUAAAUUACAAGGCUGGUAUCGGAGAGCGUUUGUUGCCUGAUUUCACCUGAAGGAUUGCAGCGCCACGCUGUGGGGAAGGAAGGAGAAGCAGGACCAGUUUGGGUGCCGAGCCGAUUUACCAGUGCGUGUCCGCAAUCAGAGAUACCAACUAGCAGUAAUAACCACAGUGACAGCAGUGACUUGUCUGAAGCACCUCAAGACGAACCAGAGACUGUUGAAAAUUAAUCGCUAUAGCAAAAAUAAACAAUCGUACUAUUACAGUUAUAUAAUUAGAGUUGUGAUAAGCUAUUGUUAAGGUUUAAGUUUAAGUAAUAGAUGAGUGUUAUUUAUCUAGUUUUUAUAAGAGACAACUAAAACAAUGAGCAGAAUGUUAGGUGUCAGAA